CGAAAAGUUUAUAUUAAGCAAUUCUUUCUAUGCACAAAACGUAUUACUAGUACUUAUUUUGAGUUUUACAUAAAAUACUGACACUCUUCAGGUAAUUUAUGUGAAAAUUAUAAAAUAAAUUUUAUUGGAACAUUCGGCUCCUGAACAGCUAUGUACGUUUUUUUCUGGAACCUUUUGCAGCUUCGAAUUUAGAUCCAAACCCUAAUAAUUUAAGUUGACUGCACCGCAGUUUAAGCGCCACUUAAACCAGUCUAAGUGGCACUUAGCCUAAGCCGAACUCGCGGUUCGGCUUAGCCAUAAGUGGGACCUAUACGCAAGCGUCACGGGUUGGUUGACGGGUUACAAAUAUAUACAUAACCAAAAACACACUGUUGAAAUCACGUUUUGGUUCAUUCUUGUUCGGCGGAUAU
rnacentral:lncRNA from 1 species